rnacentral:rRNA from 1 species
UACAGAGGGUGCGAGCGUUAAUCGGAAUUACUGGGCGUAAAGCGCGCGUAGGCGGCUUUGCAAGUCGGGUGUGAAAUCCCCAGGCUUAACCUGGGAACUGCAUUCGAGACUGCAUUGCUAGAGUAUGGGAGAGGGAAGUGGAAUUUCCGGUGUAGCGGUGAAAUGCGUAGAUAUCGGGAGGAACACCAGUGGCGAAGGCGGCUAUCUGGGCUGAAACUGACGCUGAGGCGCGAAGGCUAGGGUAGCAAACAGG